rnacentral:rRNA from 1 species
CCUACGGUGUGCUGCAGUGGGGAAUAUUGGACAAUGGGCGAAAGCCUGAUCCAGCCAUGCCGCGUGUGUGAAGAAGGCCUUCGGGUUGUAAAGCACUUUCAGUGGGGAAGAAAGCCUUGGGGCUAAUACCCUCGAGGAAGGACAUCACCCACAGAAGAAGCACCGGCUAACUCCGUGCCAGCAGCCGCGGUAAUACGGAGGGUGCGAGCGUUAAUCGGAAUUACUGGGCGUAAAGCGCGCGUAGGCGGUCUGAUAAGCCGGUUGUGAAAGCCCCGGGCUCAACCUGGGAACGGCAUCCGGAACUGUCAGGCUAGAGUGCAGGAGAGGAAGGUAGAAUUCCCGGUGUAGCGGUGAAAUGCGUAGAGAUCGGGAGGAAUACCAGUGGCGAAGGCGGCCUGCUGGACUGACACUGACGCUGAGGUGCGAAAGCGUGGGUAGCAAACAGGAUUAGAUACCCCAGUAGUC